rnacentral:rRNA from 1 species
UAUAUCGGAACGUGCCGGUCGUGGGGGAUAACGUAGCGAAAGCUACGCUAAUACCGCAUACGAUCUACGGAUGAAANCGGGGGAUCGCAAGACCUCGCGCGAUUGGAGCGGCUGAUAUCAGAUUAGGUAGUUGGUGAGGUAAAGGCUCACCAAGCCGACGAUCUGUAGCUGGUCUGAGAGGACGACCAGCCACACUGGGACCUGAGACACGGCCCAGACUCCUACGGGAGGCAGCAGUGGGAAUUUUGGACAAUGGGCGCAAGCCUGAUCCAGCAAUGCCGCGUGCAGGAUGAAGGCCUUCGGGUUGUAAACUGCUUUUGUACGGAACGAAACGGUGAGCUCUAAUACAGUUUGCUAAUGACGGUACCGUAAGAAUAAGCACCGGCUAACUACGUG